ACAAACAAGUAAAUGCAUCUCAAGAUCGUAGUAUCUGAUUGCCCUUUAUCAUAUUAUAAUAUACAUAUGACGCUAGCAAUGUUGUUCGACUGUAAAUGUUAGAAUUCGUUAAUCAGUUGCCUGUGAAACAUUACUAAAUUAGAUUACAAAUGCCAUACCACACACAUUGAGCUAUUUACACGUGGGUACACAUAUUGCUCAUACAUAGUUGUAUCAAAUAGGUAUUAAUUGAAUUUUAACAUUGGUUUUACAUAUUGUGGGGAGUCAAAACAUUGCAGCCCACCUAAUGCAAGAGUCAUAAUUACUGUUUCAUAUAAGUUGAAGAUGAAUGGCAAUUCAUCUUACAUUGGUUCAGACCAGCUGAAGACCUACACAGUGGAUCAAGUUGCAGAUUGGCUGUGUCAGGUUGGAUUUCGCGACUGCACAGCAAAGUUUUUGGAACGAAACAUUGAUGGAAAAAAGUUACUGGAUUUACAAGAAUUUCAACUGAAUAAUUUUAUUCUCUCUGACAAUAAAAGAAAAAGAGCCUUUUGGAGCUUGCUUGAAUCAGUUCGGAACAAUAACCAAUCGAAUCCACCAAAUUCAAACAUGUUUUCUGGUGGAGGUGGAAGACUACCACCAUCUCGUCCUCCCAAAUCAAUGCCAGGAUUUGGAACUCAUAAUAAUGGAAGAGUUCCGCCACGACGACCACCACCAAACCAAACAUUUGAACCAAUGAAUCCAAAUCUUAUACAUGAUGUCAAUUAUGAUUCAUUCUCUGAUGGUGACGAUAAUUAUAUGGACGAAGUAGAAACUCUGCCACCACCCAAACGGAGACCUCGUGGACCUGGUCAGACACCUUUCAGAAGAUCUGGAGAAUUUGGAAAUUUCAGACUGCCAAUGCCCUCUCCACACGAAGCACGAUCAUUUUCAGUUGAUUUUACAAAUAAUCCUCCACCCGUCGGACGAAAACCAAGAGCUUCAGUACCGAAUUAUACCCCCGUUACUCUCAAAAAUAAAGCACAUAUGCACCCUCCUGGACCACCAGGGAAUCCACCAUUGCCUGGACGUCGACCCCCUGCAAGAUUGCCUGGUGACGGGCCUGCCAUAGAUCAAGAUGACCAAGAUUAUUUGUCAUUUGAGGGACCUCUGGAUGAAAUGCCUAACCGAACAGGUUUUAAUCAAUGGCCGACAAAAUAUGAGGAAACUGAGUCAGAUGAUCUCUACGAAUUGGACGAAAUUCCAAACACAGCUAGUUUCCGCCAGUGGUCAAUAAAUCAAGAAGAAACUGAGUCAGCUGAUAUAUAUGAACCACCACCACCUCAAGGAUACCAUCAUUCAGCACCGCCUCCAAGACCUCCGGCUCAUAUUCCAAUAAUACCAUAUUCGGCUGAAGCAGCUCCACCUGCGAUUCCCGGCAGAUCUCCUAUGCGAUCACCUUACGAUGAUCACCAACUACCAAACAGACCACCACCACUGCCUCCACUUGCAGCACCAACCAGUCCACCACAAGCGCCACUACCAAAAUUCUCACCAUUGCCACAUCGAUCGGGCAGUGAUAAAACCGAUUCAUCACCUCACAGCCAGUCACCUAUUAGUUUUUCUUCUGAAAUCACUUCUCAUCUGAAAAGCAGACAAGGCAAUAUAAGCACUGAAUCAAGAGAUUCUGGACAUGGUUCACCUGGAGCAUCUCGUGAACCGAGUUGGAAAAGUGGUAAUCGUUUGCCCACGGGUCAUUUACCAAACAGAAAACACAAUUCUAGCACCGAAUCUAGAGAAUCUGGUCAGGGUUCACCUGUAGCAUCGCGUGGGCCAAGUUGGAAAAACCAAGGGUUUCCAAUCGCUCAUUUACCAGACAGAAAAAACCAUGCUAGCACUGGAAGCAACAGUUCCAGCGGUUCAGAUGACUUGACUAAACCUCCUGUUACUAAAGAUACAUUUGCGGGCAUGAAGAAGGAUAAGCUACCGAAAUUCCCUCCCACUCUCCAUAAUAAAUUUCACUCUACAGGAAAACCGACAAUGCCAAUGCCACACUUUUCAAACCUUACCACCACCACCAAUGAAGACAGGAGGUCCAUCAGAUAUUGCGCAAGACCUUAAAUUAGCCUUGCAGAAAAGGUUUAACAAAGCAAAUCCAGACGAAGAAGAAUAUGAAGGUUCCGAAGAUAUAAGAGGCCGCAUGCCUACACCAAAUGAGCAACCGAAGCCUCUCAAUAAAAAACCUUACCCAUUACCAAAACAACAAUCUGUGAAUACAGAUGCCAUAAAUUCGCCAUCUCGUUUUAAUAAACCACCAAUACUACCACAUCCGCAAACAGUACCCGUACUACCUUCAAGACAGGGUGGCAUGCAACCAUUGAUUAAUCAAAUGUCUCAUGAGCUAGUAAUUGAAGAUGAAUAUCAUUGCAUUGAAAUAGAAGAUCAACCAUGGUUUCAAGACAUUAAUCGACGUGGAGCAUCAGGUCAAAUAGAAAAGUAUCAAGAGGUAAAUUCAAG